AGAGCAUCAAGAAAAUUUGGUAAAAUUCAUUGUGAACCAACCCAGUUGUGAACUUGCUUUGUAACUUUUGACUGGUGGGAGAAUAUUUUAUUUUUUGUCUUUUAAUUCGUUUCUCUUCAACCACAUAGACCAACCAGUCAAAGGCACUGCCAGGCUGCCCAUCUAUGACUACCGGCAGGCAUAAUGUAAGGAACAUUGGUUCUG
rnacentral:misc_RNA from 1 species